GCGGGAAUGGCGGAACUGGCAGACGCAGCAGGCUUAGGACCUGCCGGGCGCAAGCUCUUGGGGGUUCAAAUCCCUCUUCCCGCACCA
rnacentral:tRNA from 1 species